GUUAGGUGGCAAAUACCUGGUCAUGCUUUGCAGUCAAGUUGAGAACCGUACUGUAGCUUGACGGGUGGUAGUUUCUUGUUUAAUGUAAGGUGUUUUGUUACUCGUCGGAUUUACCUGUGGUUUGGUUUCUAAAAGAAGCUUGUGAGAGAGAGAUAUGGUGACAGGCUUUUUUCAGAGAGCUAAUAAGAAAA